rnacentral:rRNA from 1 species
GGGUUGUGAGGUUAAGCGACUAAGCGUACACGGUGGAUGCCCUGGCAGUCAGAGGCGAUGAAGGGCGUGCUAAUCUGCGAUAAGCGCCGGUAAGGUGAUAUGAACCGUUAUAACCGGCGAUACCCGAAUGGGGAAACCCAGUGUGAUUCGUCACACUAUCAUUAACUGAAUCCAUAGGUUAAUGAGGCGAACCGGGGGAACUGAAACAUCUAAGUACCCCGAGGAAAAGAAAUCAACCGAGAUUCCCCCAGUAGCGGCGAGCGAACGGGGAGGAGCCCAGAGCCUGAAUCAGCAUGUGUGUUAGUGGAAGCGUCUGGAAAGGCGCGCGAUACAGGGUGACAGCCCCGUACACAAAAGCGCAUGUGCUGUGAGCUCGAUGAGUAGGGCGGGACACGUGGUAUCCUGUCUGAAUAUGGGGGGACCAUCCUCCAAGGCUAAAUACUCCUGACUGACCGAUAGUGAACCAGUACCGUGAGGAAAGGCGAAAAGAACCCCGGCGAGGGGAGUGAAAAAGAACCUGAAACCGUGUACGUACAAGCAGUGGGAGCACAGGUUUACCUGUGUGACUGCGUACCUUUUGUAUAAUGGGUCAGCGACUUAUAUUCUGUAGCAAGGUUAACCGUAUAGGGGAGCCGGAGGGAAACCGAGUCUUAAUUGGGCGUUAAGUUGCAGGGUAUAGACCCGAAACCCGGUGAUCUAGCCAUGGGCAGGUUGAAGGUUGGGUAACACUAACUGGAGGACCGAACCGACUAAUGUUGAAAAAUUAGCGGAUGACCUGUGGCUGGGGGUGAAAGGCCAAUCAAACCGGGAGAUAGCUGGUUCUCCCCGAAAGCUAUUUAGGUAGCGCCUCGUGAAUUCAUCUCCGGGGGUAGAGCACUGUUUCGGCUAGGGGGCCAUCCCGGCUUACCAACCCGAUGCAAACUGCGAAUACCGGAGAAUGUUAUCACGGGAGACACACGGCGGGUGCUAACGUCCGUCGUGAAGAGGAAACAACCCAGACCGCCAGCUAAGGUCCCAAAGUCAUGGUUAAGUGGGAAACGAUGUGGGAAGGCCCAGACAGCGGGAUGUUGGCUUAGAAGCAGCCAUCAUUUAAAGAAAGCGUAAUAGCUCACUGGUCGAGUCGGCCUGCGCGGAAGAUGUAACGGGGCUAAACCAUGCACCGAAGCUGCGGCAGCGAACGUAUCACCCAAGACAACUUUACGGAGUUGACGAUUGACGGAGCGAAGCGACGUCAAAGCGUUCAUUAAAGUCGAGUUGGCUUAGGGAUACGUUCGUUGGGUAGGGGAGCGUUCUGUAAGCCUGUGAAGGUGUGUCGUGAGGCAUGCUGGAGGUAUCAGAAGUGCGAAUGCUGACAUAAGUAACGAUAAAGCGGGUGAAAAGCCCGCUCGCCGGAAGACCAAGGGUUCCUGUCCAACGUUAAUCGGGGCAGGGUGAGUCGACCCCUAAGGCGAGGCCGAAAGGCGUAGUCGAUGGGAAACGGGUUAAUAUUCCCGUACUUGGUGUUACUGCGAAGGGGGGACGGAGAAGGCUAUGUUGGCCGGGCGACGGUUGUCCCGGUUUAAGCGUGUAGGUGUGUGUUCGGGUAAAUCCGGUUCACUUUAACACUGAGGCGUGACGACGAGGCACUACGGUGCUGAAGCAACAAAUGCCCUGCUUCCAGGAAAAGCCUCUAAGCAUCAGGUAACAUCAAAUCGUACCCCAAACCGACACAGGUGGUCAGGUAGAGAAUACCAAGGCGCUUGAGAGAACUCGGGUGAAGGAACUAGGCAAAAUGGUGCCGUAACUUCGGGAGAAGGCACGCUGACACGUAGGUGAAGUGAUUUACUCAUGGAGCUGAAGUCAGUCGAAGAUACCAGCUGGCUGCAACUGUUUAUUAAAAACACAGCACUGUGCAAACACGAAAGUGGACGUAUACGGUGUGACGCCUGCCCGGUGCCGGAAGGUUAAUUGAUGGGGUCAGCGUAAGCGAAGCUCCUGAUCGAAGCCCCGGUAAACGGCGGCCGUAACUAUAACGGUCCUAAGGUAGCGAAAUUCCUUGUCGGGUAAGUUCCGACCUGCACGAAUGGCGUAAUGAUGGCCAGGCUGUCUCCACCCGAGACUCAGUGAAAUUGAACUCGCUGUGAAGAUGCAGUGUACCCGCGGCAAGACGGAAAGACCCCGUGAACCUUUACUAUAGCUUGACACUGAACAUUGAGCCUUGAUGUGUAGGAUAGGUGGGAGGCUUUGAAGUGUGGACGCCAGUCUGCAUGGAGCCGACCUUGAAAUACCACCCUUUAAUGUUUGAUGUUCUAACGUGGACCCGUAAUCCGGGUUGCGGACAGUGUCUGGUGGGUAGUUUGACUGGGGCGGUCUCCUCCUAAAGAGUAACGGAGGAGCACGAAGGUUGGCUAAUCCUGGUCGGACAUCAGGAGGUUAGUGCAAUGGCAUAAGCCAGCUUGACUGCGAGCGUGACGGCGCGAGCAGGUGCGAAAGCAGGUCAUAGUGAUCCGGUGGUUCUGAAUGGAAGGGCCAUCGCUCAACGGAUAAAAGGUACUCCGGGGAUAACAGGCUGAUACCGCCCAAGAGUUCAUAUCGACGGCGGUGUUUGGCACCUCGAUGUCGGCUCAUCACAUCCGGGGCUGAAGUAGGUCCCAAGGGUAUGGCUGUUCGCCAUUUAAAGUGGUACGCGAGCUGGGUUUAGAACGUCGUGAGACAGUUCGGUCCCUAUCUGCCGUGGGCGCUGGAGAACUGAGGGGGGCUGCUCCUAGUACGAGAGGACCGGAGUGGACGCAUCACUGGUGUUCGGGUUGUCAUGCCAAUGGCACUGCCCGGUAGCUAAAUGCGGAAGAGAUAAGUGCUGAAAGCAUCUAAGCACGAAACUUGCCCCGAGAUGAGUUCUCCCUGAGACUUAGAGUCUCCUGAAGGAACGUUGAAGACGACGACGUUGAUAGGCCGGGUGUGUAAGCGCAGCGAUGCGUUGAGCUAACCGGUACUAAUGAACCGUGAGGCUUAACCUUACAACGCCGAAG